UCACCACUCAUUCCUCAUCCUCCACUUAAUAGAGAAACAUUUCCUUUGGCCCCUUGCAUCUAUAUAUACAAGUAAGAUUAAGUUCAUUGGCAACACCUACUUUCACAUUCUCAAGUACUAAACUUCUUUACCUUAGAUUUCCAAGUUCUCUGAGAUCUUCCUCCUCUUCCCUUUUGAAGCAUACAUCUAUCGAAAACAACAAUGGCUUUCCACCUUUCUCGUAUCGUUAACUCUAAGAAGGUUCCCAAGGGCUACUUUGCAGUAUAUGUUGGAGAAAACCAGAAGAGGUUCGUGAUACCAGUGUCGUUCUUAAACCAGCCUUCAUUUCAAGAUUUGCUAGGCAUGUCACAAGAAGAGUUUGGAUAUAGUCAUCCUACUGGCGGUCUCACGAUUCCCUGCAAUGAAGACACCUUUCUCGAAGUUACCUCUCGCUUGUAAUAAUUGUGAGAUGAUUAACACAAAUCAGGCAAUAAAAUUUUGUAAAGCAAACAUCACUAAUACAUGUAAACAUUUUUUUCUCCAUCCUUUUGGCCUUGGAGAGCUGAUAUCAGUCUCCCCAAGUGGAGAACUAGAGAUGGUGAUUAGUGUAACACUCCUAUCCAUCAGUAAUGAUAGUUCAAAACACAUCAUUCAAUUGUCAUUUUAUUUCCUUUCUGAAUUUUUUACUUGUUCGCGUUAAUUCAUCUUUAAUAUAAACUGUAAAUGAUCUACUUUGUUCUAAAAUUACUUUCAAACGUGAGUACAUGCUAAGUUAUUUGGAGUUGGACCCUUCAUUUUCGUUCAAUUUCAUGUGUCCAACACAUAUUCAAACAUGAGUACAAAGUCUAGUUAAGAUAGAUCACAAGUUUUCUUUUGCAUGGUAGUAGCUUAUUAAACGAUCAAUUUCGUGUUAUAAUUUUCAAAGUAAUUUUCUUAAUGUAGAUUUGCCCAAGAAUUAAGAUAUAUAAAGAUUUGAGGCAGGGGACUAAGUGAUUAAUAAAACGAACCUAAGGACAAAAGAUUUUAAAGGAAAAAAGAGAAAAGUAAA
rnacentral:lncRNA from 1 species